rnacentral:rRNA from 1 species
UACGAAGGGGGCUAGCGUUGCUCGGAAUCACUGGGCGUAAAGGGUGCGUAGGCGGGUCUUUAAGUCAGGGGUGAAAUCCUGGAGCUCAACUCCAGAACUGCCUUUGAUACUGAAGAUCUUGAGUUCGGGAGAGGUGAGUGGAACUGCGAGUGUAGAGGUGAAAUUCGUAGAUAUUCGCAGGAACACCAGUGGCGAAGGCGGCUCACUGGCUCGAUACUGACGCUGAGGUGCGAAAGCGUGGGGAGCAAACAGG